AUGUGUGAUAUUGUGGUAAUGAAAAUCCAGUAAUUAUUAAUAGUAUUUGUUCUUGAUGAUGGUGAAGGAAAGAUUUCAAAGCGAUAACCCCAAAAGUGUAGUUGUGUUUUUGGAAACUAGAUGGCUCUGACCAGUAGGCUUCCUUAUUUUGGUUUUUGGGAUAUGAUUUUUAUUUAUUUCUUUAUACAGUUAUCUAUUUAUUUAAUCUUUAUUUUAUUAUGCUUUAUUUUUUUCUAUUUGUGAAGCGUAUAUUUUUUUCCCAUUUUCUCUGGCUCUACCAUUACCACCCAGGUCAUUCUUCAGUAGCGAGUGAUCCUUUGUAGAGGGAGGAUGUCGUUCUCUGCCUUCUUGCCUACUUGCCUUGUAUCUGUAGUGAGUCACAUUUCGCUACUCUGGUUGUCCCAUAUUUGCUGCUGAUUUUUACUACCACCACCAUCACUACUGCUACUACUACUACUACUACUACUACUACUACUACUACUACUACUACUACUACUACCACUACGGUUAUCAGUCGCCGAUGGAUUAGAAGCACCCACAUUACCACCACCAGCGCUACUCACUGUCGGGUCUGCACAAUGAAGAUCUUCCCCUCGUCCUCCACCUCGCCGCCCGUCGCCACACACACGCGCUGGACUGACGUGAGCGGCCACUCCACCCGGGUCGUGCCUGUUGAGGGUGAGGGUGGGUCAGGUCAGGUCACACACACCAUUAACACCAUUAAACACCAUUACGUAGAAAAAAUGUGAGUGUUAUCGUUUAUUUAUAUAUUAGCUUAUUUGUACAUUUCUUUAUUAUGACUACAACUACUACUACUACUACUACUACUACUACUACUAC